GGAACCAUUCUUUCCUACGAGAAUCUUGCGUUGGCUUAUCUUGUGUGUGAUCAAAUGGUGUUCAAUUCUCAGGGAACCAUCACGUAACUCCUUCCAGUCCAUCAGGCGAUGGUCAAUGCCAUAUGGGAUUUCCUGAUGUAUGUAAUGUAGCAACUUUUCCCUGACUACCUCCAUUGAAAUAUUCUUCAUAACUUCUUCACUCAUGACAAAUGGAUCUUCAUCCCACGGUCUUUUCACUGACUGCUCCAUCAAGUAUUUAGUUAGAUCUUUCACUCCAGCGCCCUUU
rnacentral:misc_RNA from 1 species